UGGGAGAGUAAGGGCUGGGUAAGACGGGUGCCAGCCGCCGCGGUAAUACCCGCAGCCCGAGUGGUGAUCGGUUUUAUUGGGCCUAAAGCGUCCGUAGCCUGUUUGGUAAAUCCCUGGGGAAAUCGGGUCGCUUAACGAUUCGAAUUCCGGGGACACUACCAGACUUGGGACUGGGAGAGGCCAGAGGUACUCCAGGGGUAGGGGUGAAAUCCUGUAAUCCUUGGGGGACCACCAGUGGCGAAGGCGUCUGGCUAGAACGGGUCCGACGGUAAGGGACGAAGCCCUGGGGCACAAACCGGAUUAGAUACCCGGGUAGUCCAGGGUGUAAACGCUGCGAGCUUGGUGUUGGGGGUCCCACGUGGGCGUCCAGUGCCGGAGAGAAGUUGUUAAGCUCGCCGCCUGGGAGUACGUCGCAAGAC
rnacentral:rRNA from 1 species